rnacentral:rRNA from 1 species
GUUACCAGCACGUUAUGGUGGGCACUCUAAGGAGACUGCCGGUGACAAACCGGAGGAAGGUGGGGAUGACGUCAAGUCAUCAUGGCCCUUACGGCCUGGGCUACACACGUGCUACAAUGGUCGGUACAAAGGGUUGCCAAGCCGCGAGGUGGAGCUAAUCCCAUAAAACCGAUCGUAGUCCGGAUCGCAGUCUGCAACUCGACUGCGUGAAGUCGGAAUCGCUAGUAAUCGUGAAUCAGAAUGUCACGGUGAAUACGUUCCCGGGCCUU